AAUGCCACUUCCUGCCCAACAGGGUAGUUCUUUUCAUUGCUGCAAACAAUUUGCACUUGCUUAUUUUUGUAACAAUUAUAUCUGACUUAACAUGCAAAAAAUAUUCCAGGUGCUUUAGUUCAAUUUCUGUGCUUGAGAGGACUUUCUCAUCUCUACCAGAGUGUCUUGUGAGAAUAAAAUACUUGACGUUCCACUAGUUACUGUCUCUAAUCACAGAAUAUUCUGAUUUGGAAGUGACCCACAAAAAUUCUUAAGCCAAACUUUCAAAUUAAUGGCUCAUACAGGAAUCAAACCCCCAACCCUGGCAUUAUCAGCACCAUGCUAUAACCAACUGAGCCAGUUUCAGCUCUGUAAAUUUUCACUCAAAUUCUGUAUACAGAAUCCUUGUUUACAUGUAAUUUAUCCACUUGACAUGAUAUUUAAACUGGCCAUACUGGAACAAGGAUCAAACUCCAUCACAGUGCCAAACCUGGACCCCCCAGUAACUUCUAGAGUUUGUAUUUCACAGCCACGUUCCACCACAACUGGCACUGUACAAAUGUAAACACCUAAGAAACAAUUCUUGUUCUAAUCUGUUUCCAGGUUCAGAUCCUCAUAUGGACAGUUUCAUGCAUCACAAGAAUUGGCAUUAGAGUUUCCCCAGAAACAUCCAGUGUAUUUCUUGGGUUCUAAAAAUUUUAAUAGGGAAAAAAUUGUUUCAAAAUAUCUUGUAGUAAAAACUUCAGUGACAAAUACUUUGUAUAUCAAGUCUGACAUCACAUUUUCCAUUUAUGUUCAGAGAAAAAUUGGUUGCAUUAGGAGAGUAAUGUGGAGCUUACACUGUUCCAUGAAACCAGUUACCCUUCCCUGCCUGCCCAUGCUGCAGCAGCCCCCCACCCCCACCCAUCUCACUUUUCCACACACCCAAAGACUUGUUGCUCUGCUGGCAUGACUGAGAACAGCCUUUGUACUCACAGCAAUGCUUCUGCUUGUCCAGCUGGGAUCAGCAGCAGCAGGCUGGCUUUGUUAGCUCCAAGUGCCCAGCCAACAGGCAGGCACAGCCUCACCAAGGGCUCACAGACAGCAGCACCCAGGGCAAAACAAGGCACAGGGACCACUUCUAGUGCAGCUGGAGCAGAUUCUGACGCUGGUGGGAAUUCUUGGAGGGUGGAUUGGGGUGUGAGGAGUCAUAGCCAACACCACCACAUGGAAUCUAAGUUAAGCUAUCCUUAGCAUUUAAUGGCAUUUAGUGCUCUGAGAGGUGAUGGUGCUCUGAUUGAUGAACCCAAUGGUCUGUAGCUACAGCCACCAGCACCAGGAGAGGACAUGUUGGAUGUUGUAGCCCACUGGGGCUUUUUCAGGGUCUGACCCUGCCAGCAGGUCAGGGUACCAGGGCUCAGUGUGCUGAACUUCCCCUGAGAGGAGAAUCUCAGUUCAUCUCACUGCAGCAAAGGGAGGCUGCAGAGCCCUGGGGCAGCUCUCUGAGGCUGCCAGAGCAAAGCUGGGCACCACCUGUAUCACACCCCUGCCAGCCUGAGAGUGCUUUAGGGUAACACUGAGGGACUUUACCCUUCUCUGCAUUCACAUCAGCUGCGAAUCCUGACUUUCCUUCUACCUCCUCCCAGUUCCUCUUCAGCUUAAUUUACACAGCCACAUAAAUUGAUACAGUCACAUUUACAUCUGAAAGGCUUGGUACAUUCACAGAUCAGCAAGUGCUCGCUGUGUGAGUGAAAAAAACCUCAGCAAUACCAGCAAAAAAUUGCACUUCUGAUUGUAUCAAACCUGUACUUUACAUAUCACUACCCCCUCCAUAGCUAUUUUAAUUAAUUUACAGUAAAAGAUAACAACAGGGAAGUUACAUUUUUAAUGACAAAUGAAAGUGAAGACUUUGAUAGAGGUUAUUUUGUCUGGCAUAAUAAUCACUCUUUAAACAAAAACUGAUCAAUGAUUUGCAUGUUUAUAACAAGUUGUAUAUGGCACAGUAGUAUCUAGUUUAGUUUCUCAAGGAAGACAAAAGCACCCUUCUAAUACUCACAUGUAUAUAUAUAUAUAUAUAUAUAUAUAUAUAUAUAAUACUGGCCAGUUGCAUUCAUUUGGCUCUGUUACUUUUAGCUCCUACUCCCUGCUGAGUAGUGUAAACAAGCUAACAAGUGGUUUUAAAAUAAUGUUUGUGAAGUUGUAUUUUAAAGCCAGAAGAAAUGCAAUAUCUUGAACAAAGAAAAAUCCAAGGCAGCAGACAAAUAAACUAAUAUUUUCAUGUCAAGCAAAAUUUUUAAGUAAAAAGCAAUCAUUUUGACUAGAUUGUAGUAAGUUUUCAGAUUGCUUAUUUCCCUUUAGAUUAUCUUGUAUUUUUUUCCCCAUACAUACAAAAUCUUGGCAUUUUCAUUUCAACGUAAUUUAAUUUUUUUCAGAGGUGUUCAUUUUUAAUUCAUUCCUAUAUUUUAUCCUUCUCCUCAUAGAGAAAUAUUUCAUUUCUUAUGGAAAGUGGAAAUCAGACUGUACAAAAAAAAAAUCCUGUUUUCAAACAAACAGUCUAGCUCAGAAGUCAGCUAAGGUAAAUAUAAGACAAAAUAAUUUUGUCAAUCCGAUUGAUUUUUAACUUCAGAGGCUGACCCAGCUACAGCAGCCAGAGAAGGUGAGGUGUGAAGGCUCACAAACAAAAGAACAGAAUCUCCCCCCAUAGUCCUCAAAAGCCUAUAGCAGAAAACGAGAUUAACACAGACACAAAAAGAACAAAUUGUGUAAACUAAUUGUGCACUUUAUUAUCUGCUUUUGCAGAGUCCGAAACUGAAGACAGCAAUAAUAUUUUAAUUAGGGGAUAGUUUAAGAAUUUGAUAUUGGGAUGCUCUGUAAGUGAAAUUCAUUGAGAUCUAAGCAAAGUCCUGUUCUUGAGACCUUUGUGUACCCAAAAAAGUCAUCCUUGCAGUGUGCACAAAUUGAGUGAUGGGGAUUUACCAGGGUUUUUAUGCUUUAAAUCACUCCACUGCCAUAUGUACUUACUAUGGCUGACCUCAUACCAGAAGUGUCAGUUUAUGGGGGCUUAUGCCUCCAAAAAUAAAGGAAUCAAGAUAUUAAAA
ensembl:lncRNA